rnacentral:rRNA from 1 species
GACGAACGCUGGCGGCGUGCCUAAUACAUGCAAGUAGAACGCUGAAGGAGGAGCUUGCUUCUCUGGAUGAGUUGCGAACGGGUGAGUAACGCGUAGGUAACCUGCCUGGUAGCGGGGGAUAACUAUUGGAAACGAUAGCUAAUACCGCAUAAUAUUGACUAUUGCAUGAUAGUCAGUGGAAAGGUGCAACUGCACCACUACCAGAUGGACCUGCGUUGUAUUGGCGAGUAGGUGGGGUAACGGAUCACCAAGGCGACGAGACAUAGCCGACCGGCGAGGGGGGGCGGCCAGACUGGGACUGAGACACGGCCCAGACGGCUACGGGAGGCAGCAGUAGGGAAUCGUCGGCAAGGGGCGGAAGUCUGACCGAGAAACGCCGAGGGCGGAAAGAAGGUUGUCGGAUCGGAAAGCUCGGUUGUAAGAGAAGAAAGAGUGUGAGAGUGGAAAGCUCACACUGUGACGGUAUCUUACCAGAAAGGGACGGCUAACUACGUG